AUUCAUCUGACGAGUCCCAAAUAGGAGGAAACGCAUGUGCUCGAU
rnacentral:hammerhead_ribozyme from 1 species